rnacentral:rRNA from 1 species
GGUUAAGUUACAAAGGGCGCACGGUGGAUGCCUUGGCACUAGAAGCCGAUGAAGGACGUUACUAACGACGAUAUGCUUUGGGGAGCUGUAAGUAAGCUUUGAUCCAGAGAUUUCCGAAUGGGGAAACCCAGCAUGAGUUAUGUCAUGUUAUCGAUAUGUGAAUACAUAGCAUAUCAGAAGGCACACCCGGAGAACUGAAACAUCUUAGUACCCGGAGGAAGAGAAAGAAAAUUCGAUUCCCUUAGUAGCGGCGAGCGAAACGGGAAGAGCCCAAACCAACAAGCUUGCUUGUUGGGGUUGUAGGACACUCUAUACGGAGUUACAAAGGACGACAUUAGACGAAUCAUCUGGAAAGAUGAAUCAAAGAAGGUAAUAAUCCUGUAGUCGAAAAUGUUGUCUCUCUUGAGUGGAUCCUGAGUACGACGGAGCACGUGAAAUUCCGUCGGAAUCUGGGAGGACCAUCUCCUAAGGCUAAAUACUCUCUUUGAUUCAUCA